AAAAAAGAGUAGAGGUAGGCAAUUCAUCCUUGCUAGUAACACUUGUGGUUUUUAAUAAUAUGUCAUUUAGGUGUCUGUUUCCUGAUAUUAUUUUCAAAAACAUUGGAGAAUUCUGCACUAUAGUACAAUAUCAUGGGGAUUUGUUUGACUCGUGUUAGAAUAAGAGGGAGUGCCUCUAUUUGUAUUAGCUGGAGCAGGAUUGUGAACUAUUAUCUUACUUUGUUAUCUGAGCUAGGAGUGUACAAGGAAGUUUCUUCUACUAAUGGUUGAGCUGCUCUUCAGAUAAAGCCCUCCACAGGAUCCCUGUAGCCCUAAUUAAUCAGCUGUUAAAACAGUAGUUGAUAGACAGGCUUGCUUUAAGUUCGAAUUGCCUGCAAUCAGAGAUAACAGGUGAGUCCCAUUUGGCAGUGAGAUAUGAAAGUAGGAGAGUGAUCUGUUAUCAAAAUGAAUAUGGCACUCAAGACAAAAUUGAAGUUUGCAGUAAGAACCAGCAGAAUAAAACAAAGGGGAAUCUUUUUUUAUAUGGGGUGAUCAAAAUGCCUUUAUUUGCUCGCCUAAAGUGCAGCAAACAUCUGCGGCUGCAGCGAGGUCACUGGAGAUGGUGCCCAGCGGCUGCCACCUGGCCCGGCCCAGCUCCAUGCACACAACCGGGGGCUCGCUUCAAAGCACGGCACCUUCCAUCAGGGAGGAGGCCCUGGUCCUGGGUUAAACGCUUCAGAAAGUUUUGCUGAGGCUGUGGCGGGGAGGGGGUGGCGGAGGACCGGGUUCGGAAAUGACAAUGUGACAAGAGAGCGGGAGCGAACCUAUUGAAUUAGAUUUACGCUGUGCUGAAUAUUAUCAUCGAAACGAACAAGCAAAGCUUAUCUGCUCUUUCCUUCUUGAAAGGUUGAAUGAAAUUGAAUUGCCAACCUCUGUAUUUUACCACCGUUUGGCUGCAAUGGCUCAGAGGCAUACAUGAUCGCUUAAAAGGAAGCCAGGUUGAGUUAAACUGCAGAGCGUAUGUAUACGUUUCUGACAGCAACAUCUCAAACACAGUGUGACAUGGCAUAACAUUUAGAGGUAAUUUGAUUACAGGCACUGUGUAAUGCAAAUCAGACUUUCCCAAACAUGUUAAUUUUUUAUCACAAUAGCUCACCAACGUAGUCAAGUUUGCUUUAUUACAAGGUAUUUUUGAGCUACAUUUUUUAUUAUUUUAAGGCAUCGUAGUAUAAUUCUGUGCAUUUGCACGCAGAUUAUAAAGAGCUGAAAGAUGACAGAAUUUACUGGCUUCUGCCUUUCCAAGUUUAUUUUUAAAUGAUGAUAUAAUGAAAACCUUUUUUUUAGUAGAUGUAGAAGAGAAUUGUUUGAAUGUUGCUUUAGGUACAGAAAUUCAGAAAGAAGUUACAGUUCACAUUACAGAUGAAUCUAUUCAGAAAGAAAAGAUGUGCAUUUGUAAAUUUUUUUUAUUUUUCUAUGGGUAAUUUAUCCAUUCAGAAACACAUGAAGCUGACUUGCAAUUAAUGUUUGAUAUUCUGUUGGUAGGUAUGUAGGGUCUGUCACAAUACCUCUG
rnacentral:lncRNA from 1 species